GUGAGUGAACAAUCAACGAAAUCGUAGUUUUCAAAUUACUUCUACCUGGAGACUUGUACAUCAUCCCUUGGGUGCUCGUUUUAUUCUAUCCGACCCAAAGAAUAUCAGUCUGGUCCCUAUUUGGACAUUCGUUUCGCAAAAAUGUGUAUAUUACAAAUAAAUUAAUGCAGAAAUGACGACGAAAACCGAAAACUCGCGUCUAGGGAUUUUUCUAGGGACUGUUGGUAAAGUUUUCGACGCUCGAAAAAGUGCAGAAACAUUCGUAAGUAAGAAUUAAUCAUGUAUGGAUUCAUUUUAUUAAAUGUGUAAGGAAAUUUGUGGCAUAACAAGUUAUAUGCCAUAAUACUUUCGUACCCAAUAUUUUAUUAUGACUACGAUUAGUUACAUAAUUUACAUUUCAUAGAAUUGGCACAUUUACAAAGAACGGUAUAAAACUUAUUAAUCGUAAAUAUUGGGCCUGAUAAAGUAAAUACCGUAAUAGUGCAAAGAAACAAUAGAAAUGUAUAGAUAUUUACAAUGUAAAUCGGAAGUUUUGAUUGUAUAAAUACUUUGAACGUAUUAAUAAAUACGUAUAAAUCUAUAUCAUAGAGUAAGUCAAAUGUAAAAACUCACCAUAGUUGAUGAAUAAUGUUGUGUUAAUGAAUAAUGAUGAAUAUUGUUCAGUUCAUAAGACGCUAACAGUAUCGUAGUAUUUAAUUUAACCAACAAAAGUACCUUAGAUCUAACUAUGAAUGAUAGCUAUAUUGCAACUGAUGAAAUAUUCAUUAGAUAUCAAUAUUAUAUAAAUGUAAAAACCAACUUGAAUGUAAAAACAUCUAAAAAAUGGCAAAAAACCUUCUCCAUUAACUCUUACUAUAAAAGUAAGCUACAACUGUUAUACAGGACAUUAACCAAACUUUUAACCAAUACUGCAAACAUAUUCCAUAACUUCGUACGUAUGUUAUUUAUGCCUGUAAUUUUUCUUACUAGUAAUAAAAUAUGAAGUGUCACACAUAGACACUAGUGUAAUAAAA